rnacentral:lncRNA from 1 species
AGGGGGUGAGCUAUACUAGCCCAGUGAGUAGAACAUAUAAAACAUGUUAAUAAAACAUGAUCUCAUGAAAUGCAUCAUCCACAAGUAAUCACAUAUCUCGGAAUGGACGGAUCAAAAUUCCCUCAAAUUGUGCCUGGUCCCCGUAGGGCUGUUCCAGAACUCCACAUCAUCUAUGUACCGUAGUACAAGGUAUCUGGUCCUCGUAAGGCUAUUCCAGAACCUUCCUGGCGGGCUAGUGAAUCCCUGCUAUGUCCAUUCAACACAUACGCAAUGUACAAGGAGCCAUGCCAAGUACAAGGAUAAUGCAAUGCCACAUAAUUGUGUGUACUAAUGCAAACAAGCCUAUAAUCAUCAUGAUGCAUGAAGCAUGCUAAAGAUGUAAAAUCCUUUAUCAAAAUUUAAGUUCAGUUCCACUCACCUCUGGUCUGACUCUGAACUGACUCUGCAGGUCCUGAAGCAGUGCUCACUGCUGUUCUCUCUGAUUC